rnacentral:rRNA from 1 species
GAUGAACGCUGGCGGCGUGCCUAAUACAUGCAAGUCGAGCGAACAGACGAGGAGCUUGCUCCUCUGACGUUAGCGGCGGACGGGUGAGUAACACGUGGAUAACCUACCUAUAAGACUGGGAUAACUUCGGGAAACCGGAGCUAAUACCGGAUAAUAUAUUGAACCGCAUGGUUCAAUAGUGAAAGACGGUUUUGCUGUCACUUAUAGAUGGAUCCGCGCCGCAUUAGCUAGUUGGUAAGGUAACGGCUUACCAAGGCAACGAUGCGUAGCCGACCUGAGAGGGUGGUCGGCCACACUGGAACUGAGACACGGUCCAGACGCCGACGGGAGGCAGCAGGAGGGAAUCUUCCGCAAUGGGCGAAAGCCUGACGGAGCAACGCCGCGUUAGUGAUGAAGGUCUUCGGAUCGUAAAACUCUGUUAUUAGGGAAGAACAAAUGUGUAAGUAACUAUGCACGUCUUGACGGUACCUAAUCAGAAAGCCACGGCUAACUACGUG